rnacentral:rRNA from 1 species
AGCGAGGACUUCGGUCCUAGCGGCGGACGGGUGAGUAACGCGUGGGAACGUGCCCUUUGCUACGGAAUAGCCCUGGGAAACUGGGAGUAAUACCGUAUGUGCCCUUUGGGGGAAAGAUUUAUCGGCAAAGGAUCGGCCCGCGUUGGAUUAGGUAGUUGGUGGGGUAAUGGCCUACCAAGCCGACGAUCCAUAGCUGGUUUGAGAGGAUGAUCAGCCACACUGGGACUGAGACACGGCCCAGACUCCUACGGGAGGCAGCAGUGGGGAAUCUUAGACAAUGGGCGCAAGCCUGAUCUAGCCAUGCCGCGUGAGCGAUGAAGGCCUUAGGGUUGUAAAGCUCUUUCAGCGAGGAAGAUAAUGACUGUACUCGCAGAAGAAGCCCCGGCUAACUCCGUGCCAGCAGCCGCGGUAAUACGGAGGGGGCUAGCGUUGUUCGGAAUUACUGGGCGUAAAGCGCACGUAGGCGGACUGGAAAGUCAGGGGUGAAAUCCCGGGGCUCAACCCCGGAACUGCCUUUGAAACUCCCAGUCUUGAGGUCGAGAGAGGUGAGUGGAAUUCCGAGUGUAGAGGUGAAAUUCGUAGAUAUUCGGAGGAACACCAGUGGCGAAGGCGGCUCACUGGCUCGAUACUGACGCUGAGGU